rnacentral:rRNA from 1 species
UGGGGAAUUUUGGACAAUGGGCGAAAGCCUGAUCCAGCAAUGCCGCGUGUGUGAAGAAGGCCUUCGGGUUGUAAAGCACUUUUGUCCGGAAAGAAAUGGCUCUGGUUAAUACCUGGGGUCGAUGACGGUACCGGAAGAAUAAGGACCGGCUAACUACGUGCCAGCAGCCGCGGUAAUACGUAGGGUCCAAGCGUUAAUCGGAAUUACUGGGCGUAAAGCGUGCGCAGGCGGUUGUGCAAGACCGAUGUGAAAUCCCCGAGCUUAACUUGGGAAUUGCAUUGGUGACUGCACGGCUAGAGUGUGGCAGAGGGGGGUAGAAUUCCACGUGUAGCAGUGAAAUGCGUAGGGAUGUGGAGGAAUACCGAUGGCGAAGGCAGCCCCCUGGGAUAACACUGACGCUCAUGCACGAAAGCGUGGGGAGCAAACAGG